GUAUGGAGCCUAGAAAGGGUUUUGUUUCUCCCAUUCCUUGCACUUCUUCUUUCCUGCUUCUUCCUUUCUUGGUGGUAGCGAGCGAAACCCUUGAGAUCGAUGGAUAAUAAUGGCGAAACGAGCUCUCUGGCACCCUCAAGAACUUGAAGACGAGACCCGAGAAUCCUCCCCCGCCCGCCCACUUUCCUUUCUCUCCCUCUCUCUUGUCCCUAAUAGGAUGUAAACCGAGCUUUUGUUUUUGGGUGGUUCCGGGUUCAAGCAAAGGGCAGCUCAGGGAGAGGCGAAGCCCAAGGAAGAGGAAAAUGUCAAGAAGAUGUGUAGUUAUCAUGGAGAGGGGAAUCGCCACUCAGGAGCAUUAAAAGGUCAGGUGUUAUUUCAGAGCUUCAAUCCUUCUAUUGAUGUGUGAGUUGUGACAAUUGGUUGUUUAGGUGAAAAUAAAAAUUAUGUCUCCUUCCCCUUCAUGUUACUCUCCUUAUGUAAGCUCGUCUUGUAGAAGUUAAAUGAGGAGGCAGCAAGCAUCCAUCAAAUGCAAGCAGAUUCCUCGAGUAACAAUCAUCAAAAUGGUGCAAUUUAUAACAGAGUGGAUGGAGUCUCUGCAAUCAGAUUUGGGACUCAACUGUAACUGGCCAAGAAAACUUUUCUGAUGUAGACUUCAAAAGGAAGAAGCUGGAAAUAGAAAUGGAAACAUCAUCAUCUCAUAAGAUGCUGAAAAGUGUAAUUGGGGAUGGUGAUGGACAAUCAUCCUCCCAGCUUAAUAGGAAAAGUUCUUAUAAGCAGCAGAAGCAUGAAAAGCUGGACCGGAAUGUUCUCAGACCACCAAAAGCUACAAAUAAGGGUUUGAAAACUGCUGCUUGUUAAUCUCAGUAGAUGGAUCGUGCAUGCAUCUUGAUGUUAGUCAUCUACCUCUUUGUCAUGUUUCUCAAGUUGCUGGUGGUUCUGGGGGCAAUCCCGACAGUAUUUGGCAAGGGAGGCCCAUCUGAAAAUCAAUACUCAUAGGUGCCAAAAGGAAAGCAGAAGCAGAAGAAAUGAUACAAAAGAAAUAUGGGUUAAAUCAGGGAUUUGAAUUUGACCCGAAACAAUUGACAUAACAUUCAGAGGAGUGAAUGAUUCUCUGACCUCUUCCCAUCAUAUUCGGGAGUGCUGGCGUUAUCGUACUGGAUGAUAACUCGCAUCGUUAUUUAUCGUUUGUUUUGUUCAGAAUUUUGCACUUUUGCCCGAUUCUAGAAAACACAAGCAUCUCCAUCCGAUACACCAGUUGAAAAGUUUACGGAUGCGACAAAUUGUUGAACAAGGAGCUUGAUUAUUGGCUACUGUUUAGACUGCAGAUUAUGGGAGGGAUUAGGUAAUUGUACAGUUGAACCUAGCAUCAAAGAAUUAGGCGAGGUGGGCACCAAUGCGGUUGCUCAUGUGGAUGGUGGUGACAGCCGUCUGGCUUCUAUUCUCUGUAUCACUAGAUCUUUGGAGAUUGAAUUUGGAAAAUUAUUAUUU